GCUGGAGUGGUGGAAUUUGGUAGACACGCUAUCUUGAGGGGGUAGUGGGUGAGAUGCCCGUGCGGGUUCAAGUCCCGCCUCCAGCACAA
rnacentral:tRNA from 1 species